rnacentral:rRNA from 1 species
CUGCGCCUACGGGGGGCAGCAGUGAGGAAUAUUGGUCAAUGGGCGGAAGCCUGAACCAGCCAAGUCGCGUGAGGGAAUAAGGCCCUACGGGUCGUAAACCUCUUUUGCCGGGGAGCAAGGGCCGGGACGAGUCCCGGUCCGGAGAGUACCCGGGGAAAAAGCAUCGGCUAACUCCGUGCCAGCAGCCGCGGUAAUACGGAGGAUGCGAGCGUUAUCCGGAUUUAUUGGGUUUAAAGGGUGCGUAGGCGGGCUUUUAAGUCAGCGG